rnacentral:rRNA from 1 species
UACGUAGGGCGCAAGCGUUGUCCGGAAUUAUUGGGCGUAAAGAGCUCGUAGGCGGUUUGUCGCGUCUGUCGUGAAAGCCCACGGCUUAACCGUGGGUCUGCGGUGGAUACGGGCAGACUAGAGGCAGGUAGGGGAGAAUGGAAUUCCCGGUGUAGCGGUAGAAAUGCGCAGAUAUCGGGAGGAACACCGGUGGCGAAGGCGGCUCUCUGGGACGGUACUGACGCUGAGACGCGAAAGCGUGGGGAGCGAACAGG